AAGAGAUUAGUUUAAUGGUAUAACGUCCAUCUUACACGUGGAAAAUUAUAGGUUCAAAUCCUAUAUCUCUUA